UGUCUGAAAUUGAAAUCUGCCAGAAAUUUUUGGCAAGUAAUUUACAUGUAUCUUGCUUCUUCCAACAGUUUCUAAAUGACUGAUUUCAUUAACAGUGUAACAGCAAACCAACAAAAAGAUUGGAAAGGACCUCAUCUUUAUCAUAUAGCAAAUGGUUCAAAGACAGAUCAGAAAGCUACAUGGAGUCACUAAGAGCGAAGCAAAGCAAAGCAGAUUGUAUUAAAAUGAAAUUUGACGGGAAAAUGUCCGGUAUAAAUGUUGUGCUUUUGAGUGGCCGAGGAGAAAGUCGACAAAAUUGUCUUGGAUUAGAAAUUCGCGCUUUAAAAGUGAACGAGAAAGUCUUUUGACACUAAUUCUGUAUUGGAUUAAAACAUUUGGGAAAAAGGUCGGAAAAAAAACUAAGUCUUUUGGCGGGAAAAAUAUUUCUUUGUAAAAGAUAUUGUGCUUUUAAAAGAGACCAAAAAAA